UACGGGAGGCAGCAGGGGGAAUAUUGCACAAUGGGCGAAAGCCUGAUGCAGCUAUGCCGCGUGUAUGAAGAAGGCCUUAGGGUUGUAAAGUACUUUCAUCGGGGAGGAAAAAACAAAACUAAUAAUUUUAUUUCUUGACGUUACCCGAAAAAGAAGCACCGGCUAACUCCGUGCCAGCAGCCGCGGUAAUACGGAGGGUGCUAGCGUUAAUCAGAAUUACUGGGCGUAAAGAGCACGUAGGUGGUUUUUUUAAGUCAGAUGUGAAAUCCCUGGGCUUAACCUAGGAACUGCAUUUUGAAACUGAAAUACUAGAGUAUCGUAGAGGGAGGUAGAAUUCUAGGUGUAGCGGUGAAAUGCGUAGAUAUCUGGAGGAAUACCUGUGGCGAAAGCGGCCUCCUAAACGAAUACUGACACUGAGGGUGCGAAAAGCGUGGGGAGCAAACAGGGAUUAGAUACC
rnacentral:rRNA from 1 species